rnacentral:ncRNA from 1 species
GAAAAGCCAAACCCACCGCGAGGUGGGGACGGAAAGCCACGGGUCUUACCAAGACAGCCGGGUUGCCAA